rnacentral:lncRNA from 1 species
GAGGACGUAUAGAAUGAGCAGGAGCUAAGAGGAGGAAGGACGAUGGUGGAGAACAUUCUAGAUGAUGGUAGUGUGAGGACCUCUACAGACCAUCUCUCAAGUGGAACCAUCAUAACUACUGUCAUUUCUUGAAUGUCCUCACCGCUCUCCCAGCCUGCUCCCUCCUGCGGCUGCAGCACAGGACUCUGACCAGCAGGAGGUGGGACUCAAGGACUCCAGACCCAGCCCACAUGCGGGCCGGGCCAGGCCAGGGCAUCUGGAUGAUGCUGAAAAAUGAGAGAGAGCUGCAAUGGAUAAACUUGUGGACACGCCAUUUCCCAUGUGUGUGAGGAUACAGGCUGGCCAACAUCCUGGAGCUCAAACUGCCGGGAUGAAGGCUCCGUGUAUUUGUCAUUUACAUGGAUCCGGCGACAUAGCCUUCCACAGCUGUUGCUCCAAUUUGCCCUCCCCCCAGCAGCGUUUGGGGGGGCUCCUUCCACAUGGUCUCCCCAACAGUGAUACUCUCCCUCAACUUCUCCUACCUUCAUGACAACCCACAUGCGCCGUUGUUCUCAUUUGCCCGGAAGAAGUAAGAUGACUGACAGGGGGCUAACCGGAAGGACUGGAGCUUCAGCCCUGGGCAAGAAUGAAAUAUGUCCCUUCCUCUUUUCUUACCUCCUGAGAGCAGCGAAUCUUCUACAAACACCUGCCUGUGUGUGCAUCUCCCAUGUGGCGUGUCUGGGACUCUGGGCCUCGUCUUGUCUCCCAUGUGGUUGUGCGGCCUGAUACUAAAAACAGCUCAGCAUCUCAUGUCGGUCACAUCCUUAAUGCUGAGUUUGACUAUAAUUGCAGCAGGCAGACCAUAGUACAUUUACUUAACAUACCUUGAAUUAGGACCUCUUGCAUAAAUUUGCAUGCUAUUUGCAUCUAUUUGAUUGGACUGGGGGGAAAAAAAUCAGUGGUUGCAGCUCUUGAGUCAGGCAGGCUGGAAAGGGGCUGAGGAGCACCCAGCUUGGCCUUGAGCCCAGGGCUGCACUGAUCAGACGCUGAGCACACCCUCACAUCUGCUCUGCCCCCCGGGCUACCUGGGCAGGAGCUGGGCUCUUAAUGUGAGUCUCUUCUCACCCCGGGACUCACCAUGCUUAGGACAGGGGUGGUGCCAGAUCCCUCGGUGUCCAGAUCCCUCCUCCGACACGUGUCACCCCAGACCAUGUUCCGUGAAGGCCAAUAUCAUGUCUGUCCGGCUGCUGCUGGAUUCCCAUGGACGGUUGGAUAAACUGAAUGAACAAAUG